rnacentral:misc_RNA from 1 species
GAGUUCAUGCCCUUACGGGUAGAUCUCCCACCCUUGAAUAUACUACCUUUGUUGCUUUGGCGGGCCGCUUCGUCCACCGGCUUCGGCUGGUGAGUGCCCGCCAGAGGACCCUAAACUCUGAAUUAUAGUGUCGUCUGAGUACUAUACAAUAGUUAAAACUUUCAACAACGGAUCUCUUGGUUCU